UACGUAGGGUGCAAGCGUUAAUCGGAAUUACUGGGCGUAAAGCGUGCGCAGGCGGUUAUUCAAGACCGCUGUGAAAUUCCCGGGCUUAACCUGGGAACCGCAUUUGUGACUGCAUAGCUGGAGUACGGCAGAGGGGGAUGGAAUUCCGCGUGUAGCAGUGAAAUGCGUAGAUAUGCGGAGGAACACCGAUGGCGAAGGCAGUCCCCUGGGCCUGUACUGACGCUCAUGCACGAAAGCGUGGGGAGCAAACAGG
rnacentral:rRNA from 1 species